rnacentral:misc_RNA from 1 species
AAGACUAUAGACCUGCGGAGUACCUGCGGAAGGAUCAUUAACGUAUCUAUGAUGGGGUGCGGAGCGCCCUGCUCCGGUCGAACGGCCGUGCAGCGGGUGCGCCGCCCCCGUCCCACCUCACAAACCCACUGUGAACAUUCACCGGUGGAGGGGGCUCGGUCUGCGCCGUGUCCCCGAUGCCGAAUACCCCAACUCCAGUUGCAAAGAACGUCGUGCGGACUCGGUGCCGCCUAAAACAUG